rnacentral:lncRNA from 13 species
UCGGCAGCAGGGCGGAGCGCGGCGGAGGGCAGGCGCGGCACCGGCGGGGACACGGGGGUGUGCCGUGAGAGGCGCCUCGCCAGGCUGCGGGCAGGGAGGGAGAGGGGACCGCGCGGCCGGCGGCCACAAUCUGACAGGGGCGCACGGGAGGCCGCGCGGGGAGGGCCGGGGGCGGGCCGAGGCGGGCCCGGCGGCCAGAUGGCGGGGGCUGCGGCCUGACGAGCGCCGCGUCAUUCGCGUCAGCCGGCGCGCUGCGGUAGGCCCCGCCCCUCCGUCCCCGGCCGCCGCGUGGGAGGGGCGGGGCCUGCGGCCCGCCGCCGCCUCAGGGAAGAGGAAGAAGGCCGCCGCUUAGCGCCCCGCCUCUCGCUUGGCGGGCCUAAGAGCGGAGGGGGCGGGCCAAGGGGGUCUGGGGGCGGGCCAAGGGGGUCUGGACGCAGUCACUUGUCCUCCCGCUGUCUUCCCGAAUCUCCCAGGAAUGCUAAUGUCACCCGAGGUUGCUGAGAGAAACGCUGAGCCGACCUUUCCGUUAGGCUAAAGCUCUGAAUUUUCAAACCCAGGAAUCACAGGGUCCGGGUCAUCGACUUUGCUAAAUAAUGCCUGGAAACCUGUUGCAGUCUCCUUUGAGAAAGCUAGUUUUAUGGUACCUGAAGGGCACUGGCCAUACCAGGCCCCUAAACCGGGUCACGGAUGUGGGAGAGACUAACUAGGGUGGCUCUCACUCUUCUGGCCUUUCCCUGAGGCUCGGGACCAGGAACGAGGUUCCAAGUAGCUGGAUUGAAAGUAUUCUGAUCUGAGGACUGGCAGUGCACAAGAGUGUCCCCCGCCCCACCCCCACCCGUAUGCAGCAUAAGGAAAUGAAGAAAAGACUGCCCGGGUCAAUAAACCUGGACGUGGCAAAUUUCAAAGAAAGUAAUUCAAACACAGGUUGCACAAACCAUGAUAAUGGCCAGCAUGGAUGGAGGGAGCAUCUGAGAUGUGCAGGGCACUGUGCUACAUCUCAGCUAACUCUAGGAGUCCAACUGACAUGA